rnacentral:rRNA from 1 species
CCUACGGGUGGCAGCAGUGAGGAAUAUUGGUCAAUGGACGAGAGUCUGAACCAGCCAAGUAGCGUGAAGGAUGACUGCCCUAUGGGUUGUAAACUUCUUUUAUAUGGGAAUAAAAUGUUCCACGUGUGGGUUUUUGUAUGUACCAUAUGAAUAAGGAUCGGCUAACUCCGUGCCAGCAGCCGCGGUAAUACGGAGGAUCCGAGCGUUAUCCGGAUUUAUUGGGUUUAAAGGGUGCGUAGGUGGAUUGUUAAGUCAGUUGUGAAAGUCUGCGGCUCAACCGUAAAAUUGCAGUUGAAACUGGCAGUCUUGAGUACAGUAGAGGUGGGCGGAAUUCGUGGUGUAGCGGUGAAAUGCUUAGAUAUCACGAAGAACUCCGAUUGCGAAGGCAGCUCACUGGACUGCAACUGACACUGAGGCUCGAAAGUGUGGGUAUCAAACAGGAUUAGAUACCCGAGUAGUC